rnacentral:misc_RNA from 1 species
UACGGAGGGUGCGAGCGUUAUCCGGAAUCACUGGGCGUAAAGGGCGCGUAGGCGGUCUGUUAAGUCCGUUGUUAAAGACUGGGGCUCAACCCCGGCACGGCAGUGGGUACUGGCAGGCUGGACGGCUGGAGAGGCGAGUGGAAUUACCAGUGUAGCGGUGGAAUGCGUAGAUACUGGUAGGAACACCCAUGGCGAAGGCAGCUCGCUGGACAGCUCGUGACGCUGAGGCGCGAAAGUGUGGGGAGCAAACCGG